rnacentral:SRP_RNA from 1 species
GCUGGGCAUUGUGGCGGGUUCCUGUGGUCCCAGCUACUUGGGAGGCUGAGGCAAGAGACUCGCUUGAGCCCAAGAGUUGGAGGUUGCUGUGAGCUGUGAUGCCACAAUACUCUACCCAGGGGGAUAGCUUGAGGCUCUGUCUCAAAAAAAAAAAUAGAUGAUAUCUCAGUACUCUUUAUUUUAAGAAUCUUGAAACUCUUUUUUUUUUUUUUGAGACAGAGCCUCAAGCUGUCCCCCUGGGUAGAGUGCCAUGGCAUUACAGCUCACAGCAACCUCCAACUCCUGGGCUCAAGCGAGUCUCCUGCCUCCA